GAUGAACGCUGGCGGCGUGCCUAAUACAUGCAAGUCGAGCGAACUAAUUAGAAGCUUGCUUCUAUGACGUUAGCGGCGGACGGGUGAGUAACACGUGGGCAACCUGCCUGUAAGACUGGGAUAGCUUCGGGAAACCGAAGCUAAUACCGGAUAGGAUCUUCUCCUUCAUGGGAGAUGAUUGAAAGAUGGUUUCGGCUAUCACUUACAGAUGGGCCCGCGGUGCAUUAGCUAGUUGGUGAGGUAACGGCUCACCAAGGCAACGAUGCAUAGCCGACCUGAGAGGGUGAUCGGCCACACUGGGACUGAGACACGGCCCAAACUCCUACGGGAGGCAGCAGUGGGGAAUCUUGCGCAAUGGGCGAAAGCCUGACGCAGCGACGCCGCGUGCGGGAAGAAGGCCUUCGGGUUGUAAACCGCUUUCAGGAGGGACGAAGCCACUCGGGUUAAUAGCCCAGAGGGUGACGGUACCUCCAGAAGAAGCCCUGGCUAACUACGUGCCAGCAGCCGCGGUAACAC
rnacentral:rRNA from 1 species